CCUACGGGCGGCUGCAGUGGGGAAUAUUGCACAAUGGGGGAAACCCUGAUGCAGCGACGCCGCGUGAAUGAAGAAGUAAUUCGUUAUGUAAAGCUCUAUCAGCCGGGAAGAAAAUGACGGUACCUGAGUGAGAAGCCCCGGCUAACUACGUGCCAGCAGCCGCGGUAAUACGUAGGGGGCAAGCGUUAUCCGGAUUUACUGGGUGGAAAGGGAGCGUAGACGGCAGUGCAAGUCUGGAGUGAAAGGCGGGGGCUCAACCCCCGGACUGCUCUGGAAACUGUACGGCUGGAGUGCAGGAGAGGUAAGUGGAAUUCCUAGUGUAGCGGUGAAAUGCGUAGAUAUUAGGAGGAACACCAGUGGCGAAGGCGGCUUACUGGACUGUAACUGACGUUGAGGCUCGAAAGUGUGGGGAGCAAACAGGAUUAGAUACCCGGGUAGUC
rnacentral:rRNA from 1 species